GCUCGCCCUCGGCACCUGACCCGGCGGGAGGAAGGGGCGGGUCCAGAGAACACCCGGGACUUGAACGCUGGACCGUGAGAGAGGCAUCGGAGUGGGGCGGAAGGGUGAGGUCACGAUGUGCCUGGACAAAAACCUUUGGAGCAGGACCAGGACUAGGACCGGGCACUGUCCUGGAGCCAGUGAAACCAGACGAAAUUAAGGGAACAGCAGACGAAGGAACUGCCACCAUGCCCCAGACCCUGGUUUGCAAAUACAGUUCAACAAAGAUCUUGCCGGGAAUUGGCCUGGGAGAGUCCAAAGGACUGGGCUGGGGGUGGGGAAAUGAUUUUAGCCAGAAGACAAAUAUAGAGGUUGUACCCAGAAGGUUAAGAGGCUUAGAGGAAGGUUAAGAACUACGUUGACAUUUGGCUCCCAGGACCCCAGGUAAAGUGCCCUUGGAUUGAAUAGAUUUCUGAACUCCAGAAACAUUUAGAGGAAUCAAUAGAAUUAGAUUGGCAGCCAUUGUGCCAAUGGACAAGUGCUUACUGAGCCCCUUAAUCCCUUCACUGGGUAAGCAUUUGCCACACAUGUCCUCAAAAACCUACGUGUUAGCUUAAGUGGACUCCCUCAAGUUCAGAACAGGAGCAAAUAGUGUAAUCACAAAUUCCGUGUCUGAAUAAUCAUAACAAUGUUUAUGAAAAUAAGGACGACUGUUGAAAACUGCAACUGCAGCUGAACCUUAUGUGCCCAGACUUCAGAAUUCCCAAAGGCAAAAUGCCAGCAGGCCUUUGCACACUGAACACAUAGUGUUCAUAUCCUUCACUUUCCUUUCCUGCCCUCUCCCAUCUUCUCCAGGUCUGCCUGUGAAAGGACCCAAUUCUAGGACCCCCCAGGAUGGUUAGGCCCUUCCUCCGAAAGUACACUUUGCAAUUUGUUAGUCUCCUCAAGAACCCCAGCGAUCCAAACUGAUGCAUGCAAAUUGCAGGUGUUCAAAGGAGCAAUUUUGAAUCUAGCUUUGUUGAUCCCGGGAGAAAUCUUUGACCUGUGUUAGUGAAAGGCUACGGUGUUUCUCAGCUGAUUAUAAUAGUGAGGUAGCUGGAUGCAAAAAAACAGUUUCAGAGAAUGGUAGAGUAUAUCCUCCAAAGGCAAUACUCACUUCUCUAUUCUGGUGACAGAAACAAGAGCUAAAGCAAAAUUCUACAGAGGGCUUUAUUUGGAGAGAGGUGGAUUUUAUUUAUAAUGCAUUUAAAAUUCAAAAUCUUUCUAGUUUGAACUCUUGACAUUCUGAUUAAUGCAUUUUUAUUCAACUUAAUUAUUCCUCAGUACACCUCGCUAUCACUUGUGUAUCCCUUUUCUACAUGUGACCUUUCCCUGGCCACAUCUGCUACUCUUUGAGCAUGAUGCCUCUACUGUAUUCUAUUCCAGAGCUCGUUGUUUUGUCAGUUUUUUUCUCUCCACAAAAAAAGAUGAUGAAAUAAUUACAUAGAAUUUUUCCCUUCUCCGUCUUUGGGUAACUAAGUAUGGUUUUAUUGACGAUGAAAUACAAGAUGGGUCAUUUAAAAGCAACUUCUUGCCAUCACUUGGUAUUUUGCUAAAUCCACGGUGAGCUGGAGCUCCCGUAGUCGCCUAUCACCGCGUGUAUUUUAAGGAGUCAGAUAUUCUCGAAACUGUUAAGGUCAUGAAAGACAAAGAGACUAAGGAACUGUCACGGAUUAAAGGAGACUAAAAAUACUUGACAACUGAAUGUAAUAUAUGACACUCAACCGGCUCCUGGACCAGAAAAAGGACAUUGGUUAUAUUGGUGAGGUUUGAAUAUCUGUAGAUUACCAAUACUAUUCUUGGUUAUGGUGGUUAUGUAAGAUUUAGAGAAGUUGAAUAAAGGCUAUAAGGAC
rnacentral:lncRNA from 1 species